rnacentral:tRNA from 2 species
UAGACGGAGGCCUGCAGGGUUAGGGCACCUAGCUGUUAACUAGGUUUUUAUGGGAUCGAGGCCCAUCUGUCUAG